rnacentral:rRNA from 1 species
GACGAACGCUGGCGGCGUGCUUAACACAUGCAAGUCGAGGGGUAUAGGUUUUCGGACCUAGAGACCGGCGCACGGGUGCGUAACGCGUAUGCAAUCUACCUUUUACAGAGGGAUAGCCCAGAGAAAUUUGGAUUAAUACCUCAUAGUAUAAUGAUUCGGCAUCGAGACAUUAUUAAAGUUCCAACGGUAAAAGAUGAGCAUGCGUCCCAUUAGCUAGAUGGUAAGGUAACGACUUACCAUGGCGACGAUGGGUAGGGGUCCUGAGAGGGAGAUCCCCCACACUGGGACUGAGACACGGACCAGACUCCUACGGGAGGCAGCAGUGAGGAAUAUUGGUCAAUGGGCGCAAGCCUGAACCAGCCAUGCCGCGUGCAGGAUGACGGUCCUAUGGAUUGUAAACUGCUUUUGUACAGGAAGAAACAGUUCUACGUGUAGAACCUUGACGGUACUGUAAGAAUAAGGAUCGGCUAACUCCGUGCCAGCCGCCGCGGUAACAC